rnacentral:tRNA from 1 species
GAAGGGAGAGCUCAGUGGCAGAGCACACACUUAGCAUGCAUGAGGUCCUAAGUUCAAUCCUCAGUACCUCCA